AACUAGUGAUCUACUAGCUCA
rnacentral:siRNA from 1 species